CCCGGUGCAGUUCAAUGACUUAGAACAGAUAUUGUGCAGUCUUAGGAAACAUACGAUGCAGGUUUGAAUCCUGCCGCCGGGA
rnacentral:tRNA from 1 species